UAGCCCAGUGGUAAGGCAUCCGCCUCGUAAGCGGUAGAUCGGGAUUCAAAUCCCG
rnacentral:tRNA from 1 species